GCUGGUGUUGCUCAAUGGUUAGAGUGUUGGCCUUCACACCGAAGGGUCCCAGGUUCGAUUCCUGGUCCCAGUU
rfam:Myotis lucifugus cont2.11616, whole genome shotgun sequence.